AUCUAUCGCCAUAACACCCUGACCUUUGAAGCUAAGCAAUGUCGGGUCGGGUCAGUACUUCGAUGGGAGACCACCUGUGAAUACCAGGGGCAGUAGAUU
ensembl:rRNA 5S_rRNA 5S ribosomal RNA